AUCUUUCCUAUCUCUUUUAAUUUCAUAUACAUGGUUUUGAUGAUUGAGUUGAUAUGGUUUGAUUUGUGCAUAAGUUUGAAUCUGUAUAGCCAAUACAUGGGUUUUGGUUGCUCUGUAAAGGAAAUGUCCUCUUCUUACUUUACUGUCAUAUUGUAAAUAUGAACGUUUACCUAAUAGUGCAAAGGUAGAAUUGCAAUCUUCAUAUUCUAAUUGAUUUAGGAAAAUCAAGUUAGAUACCGUAAAGAUAAGACUUGCGCCAUUGGUAUUCCAAAUGAUAUUGAAAUUAAGUUGCUGGCCAAAUACUUGUUAUAGGAAAUGUUGGAGUGAUUUUAUGUCUUUUCCUAGAACAUGUUUUCUGGACAGUUUACACCCUUACUGCGCAAAUGCUGGUGGAUUGAACGUAGUUAAGAAGCUGCAGUUAUAGAUUUUUUUUUCUUUCGUAGUUGCUCUCCGCGGAUUUGAAGUUGUUCAUUUAGCUAUUUGCCCGUAUGUUUGCUCGAAUUAGUUAUAGCUGGACAUAAUGGCUUGCAAUUCAUCAACUGAUUUUUAAUAACAACACUAGGAUAGUGUGUCACUAAUUCAGCAAGUAGACAAUUAAAAAAUGGAAAAGGAGAUUGGUAAUGGAAGUUGCACUAACUAAUUAAUUAAUAAGGGAGUGGACACUUGUAACGAGAAAGGCACUGGUUGAUUUUAGGGGAUUGAAAUGGGCAUUACUAGUAAAAUAAGAAGGCACUAGGGUAGUGGGAUAAUUAAAAACUGAAAAGAUAAGUUGUUAGUGGCAAAUGCACUAAUGGAAUGCCCACUUUAGAGAGCUGGAAAUCAGAAUAAAAGGGAGGUAGAACACAAGAAAAAAAAUGUGAAAUUGUAAGAAAAAAACCUGAAAAAUAGAGAGGUCAAGGAAGCUUAACAAUCUGACGGAGAGCAAUAGAGAGGGACAACCUUGGACAUUUUGAAAACCUGAGUGAGGAAAUUGAGAAAUCCAGAAGAAAUGAUAUAAAAGUGCAGAAAACUGUAUUGUUGGUUUAAGUUUGAUUGUCUGAUCUCUCUUAGCUCACUCUUCUUGAACUGUUUUCAUCAAUUUGAAGAGCUAAAUUUAGUUUGCAUUCAAGUAAUUGGACCCUGAUUGGUGUGGUUUUGUUGAUUGUGUUCCAUUGAUAUACUGUUGGUUCUAAAUUGUGAGUUUUAAGUUGGUCCUCUUUAGUCAUUCCUGGGUUCAUUUGUGCUUGCUGAACACUGAUUCUUGCUGCUGCUGAGUCUGCUAAAUCUCACCCCCCUCUCUGUUUUCCUCUUUCCAGGUAUAUCUUGAUCCUAUGGAUAUCAUUUGAGGUGUAAACUUGAAUCAUGAAUUAAGAAUGAGAAAGCUAGUCUACACCCUUUCUUCUUUUAAUAUACUAUCACUGUGUACUUUUGAGUUUUCAAUUAGUGUAUUCUGCCCAAAAGGGGGUUUGUAAUUAAGAGUUAAAUCACAUAGUUUUGUGUAACUACUUUCCUCCUUAUUGUGGUUGUUGGACUCUGUAGCUAUUCUAUAAACUCGUUGUUUUAGAGUUUUGUUCAAUCAAGUAUUCUACUUAAAUCUUAUGAGUUUAGGAAAUGAAUGAAUAUUUUCAUGAUGGUAUGAUUGUUGUAGUGAAGUUAAGUUGUGGUUUAUGGUUUCAUUUCAUUUUCUUGUUAAUGGAUUUAUCAUGCUAUCCAUGGGUCUCCCUCUUUUAAUUUCAUUUGGUCUAAUAUUGCUUGUUUGUUGCAUUGAAGUACCGCACCCAAGGUGAAAAGAAUGAUUUUUUCCUAUAUAUUUUUUAUUUGACUAGUACAUGAGAUUUAAUAUUUUCUAGAAGUGUUUAAAUGUUGAUGGCAUGAAUUUUAGUGGACAAAACUCACUUCUCACCAUUGUAAACCGAUAUAUUUUCAUGGCAACCACAAGAAUCUGUUCUCAUGUGAAAAAAGGGAUUGGCAAAACUAAGAAGAAAGAAAGGAUUGAAGUUGUAUAGAGCAGAUCCAUGGAGAUUCCCUCCAGCUGGUGAUUUUCCACUUCCUGUUCCGAUCUUCAGUUCCUCGAGCAGCUUGGGAUCCGUAAGCAGUACCUUAUUCACCCGCUUCCGUGGUCUUCCUCGCCCUCCCAUUCCGGUGAGCAGCGCACGUUAGUAGAUUCACCUAAUCGAGCGCUGAGAGAAACGGUUAUAGAGAGAGAAAGUGAAAUUUUUUUUUGCUAUGUAUAAAUCAGAUACAAAAUAUAAAAAAGACAUAUUGUAUAAAUUUUAUAUAAAAUUUUGAUUUAAGUUGUAUGUUAUUGUAGUUGUAUUUAACUGGG